rnacentral:rRNA from 1 species
AUGUGAUAAGUAAUGUGAAUUGCAGAAUCUUGUGAAUCAUCGAAUCUUUGAACGCACAUUGCGCCCUAUAGUAUUCCGUAGGGCAUGCCUGUCUGAGAGUCAGCUCCCCCCACACUCAAGUCUCUUAAUUGAAGCUUGGAUUACUUUAAAGAAGUGGCUGAAACACAAUAGGCUACUCUUUAGAAAAUCAUAGGCAGUAUGGCACCUGAACCAGGCGUAAUAAGGAUAUAAAAGCGUCUCUCUUUAGGAAGGUUGUACUUGCCUUAACCCACCCAUUUUCUUCUGGGUAACCUCAGAUCAGGUAGGGAUACCCGCUGAACUUAA